rnacentral:tRNA from 1 species
UUAAUUGAAACCAAAUAGAGGUGAAUUAUUGUUAAUAAUUUUAUUGAGAUUUUUUUUCCAAUUAAA